rnacentral:lncRNA from 1 species
CCCCCAGCCCCUACCAGCUCGGCGGCGAGCCUGACCGGCCGUCCCGGAUCGAAAAGAGCAGACACUGGGAAGUUUUGGGAGAGGGAGGGGCGGGCCUUAAAGGGACCACGACCUUUUUUCAGCCCCGUGGGGGGAAGAAAAAUUGGGGGCAGGGGGCGCGGGAGCGGGGACACGGCAGGAGACCGAGGGUCGCCCCGCGGGGGAAUGGAGGAAACCAGGCGAGAAAGGAGCGGGAAGACCUUGGAGCCGCGGUGUUCGGGCUCCGCGUCCCUUUUCCCCAAAAAUCCACCCCCGCCCCCCGCAGACGGAAAGUCACGCAGUUGUUUGAGACUCGCGCAUCUUUCCUCCUGGUCAGGGGGAUGGCAGUAGGAGCUUCGUCUGGGUCGUCAUGAGGAAUGCAGAGAAUGGAAACGGGACCUUAGAGGACUACCCCCAUUUCACAGUUGAAGUAAAACUGGCCCAGAGAGUGGAAGAACCGCGAAAAAUUACCACAGCUGGGCAGCCUCUGAAAGAGCAGGUCGCUCCCGUUCUUAAUCCACACAAAACUUAAUCGGACCCUUGCAGAUCCUUGUAAACCCAUGCCAGCCGGGCACGGUGGCUUCCCCUGUAAUCCCAGCACUUUGGGAGGCCGAGGUGGGCAGAUUGUUUAAGUCCAGGAGCUCGUGACCAGCCUGGGCAACAUGGUGAAACCUUCUCUCUACAUAAAAUACAAAAAAAUUAGCUGGGCGUGGUGGCGUGCAACUGUAGUCCCAGCUACUGGGGAGGCUGAGGCGGAAGGAUCACUUGAGCCCAAGAGGUGGAGGCUGACAAAGCGAGACCCUGUCUCAAAAACAAACAACACCCCAGAAAAAUAUGGCUGGGCGCCGUGGCUCACGCCUGUAAUCGUAGCACUUUGG